GAUGAACGCUGGCGGCGUGCCUAAUACAUGCAAGUCGAGCGAACGGACGAGAAGCUUGCUUCUCUGAUGUUAGCGGCGGACGGGUGAGUAACACGUGGAUAACCUACCUAUAAGACUGGGAUAACUUCGGGAAACCGGAGCUAAUACCGGAUAAUAUUUUGAACCGCAUGGUUCAAAAGUGAAAGACGGUCUUGCUGUCACUUAUAGAUGGAUCCGCGCUGCAUUAGCUAGUUGGUAAGGUAACGGCUUACCAAGGCAACGAUGCAUAGCCGACCUGAGAGGGUGAUCGGCCACACUGGAACUGAGACACGUUCCAGACUCAUACGGGAGGCAGCAGUAGGGAAUCUUCCGCAAUGGGCGAAAGCCUGACGGAGCAACGACGCGUGAGUGAUGAAGGUCUUCGGAUCGUAAAACUCUGUUAUUAGGGAAGAACAUAUGUGUAAGUAACUGUGCACAUCUUGACGGUACCUAAUCAGAAAGCCACGGCUAACUACGU
rnacentral:rRNA from 1 species